GACCCAGGAAACAGUCAGAGAGG
rnacentral:piRNA from 1 species